rnacentral:rRNA from 1 species
UGGGCGGCGGCCUACCAUGCAAGUCGAGCGGCAGCGGAAAGUAGCUUGCUACUUUGCCGGCGAGCGGCGGACGUGUGAGUAAUGUCUGGGAAACUGCCUGAUGGAGGGGGAUAACUACUGGAAACGGUAGCUAAUACCGCAUAACGUCGCAAGACCAAAGAGGGGGACCUUCGGGCCUCUUGCCAUCAGAUGUGCCCAGAUGGGAUUAGCUAGUAGGUGGGGUAACGGCUCACCUAGGCGACGAUCCCUAGCUGGUCUGAGAGGAUGACCAGCCACACUGGAACUGAACACGGUCCAGACUCCUACGGGAGGCAGCAGUGGGGAAUAUUGCACAAUGGGCGCAAGCCUGAUGCACCCAUGCCGCGUGUAUGAAGAAGGCCUUCGGGUUGUAAAGUACUUUCGCGGGGAGAAGGGUUGAGGUUAACAUUCCAGCAAUUGACGUUACCCGCAGAAAAGCCCGGCUACUCCGUCCAGCGCCGCGGUAAUACGGAGGGUGCAGCGUUAAUCGGAAUUACUGGGCGUGAGCGUGCGCCGCGGGUCUGUCAAGUCUGAGUGAAAUCCCCGGGCUCAACCUUGGAACUGCUUCGAAACGGCAGGCUAGAUCUCUUGGGUGGGGGUAGAAUUCCAGGUGUAGCGGUGAAAUGCAUAGAGAUCUGGAGGAUACCGGUGGCAAAGGCGGCCCCCUGGACAAAGACGACGCCAGUGCGAAAGCGUGGGGAGCAAACAGGAUUAGAUACCCUGGUAGACAACGCCGUAAACGAUGUCGACUUGGAGGUUGUGCCCUUGAGGCGUGGCUUCCAGCUAACGCGUUAAGUCGCCGCCUGGGGAGUACGGCCGCAAGGUUAAAACUCAAAUAAUUGAGGGGGGCCGCACAAGCGGUGGAGCAUGUGGUUUAUUCGACGCACGCGAAGAACCUUACCUACUCUUGACAUCCAGAGAAUUUGCAGAGAUCUUUGGUGCUUGCUCGGGAACUCUGAGACAGGUGCUGCAUGGCUGUCGUCAGCUCGUGUUGUGAAAUGUUGGGUUAAGUCCCGCAACGAGCGCAACCCUUAUCCUACGUUCCAGCGGUCAGGCCGGGAACUCAAAGGAGACUGCCAGUGAUAAACUGGAGGAAGGUGGGGAUGACGUCAAGUCAUCAUGGCCCUUACGAGUA